UAGAGUUUGAUCAUGGCUCAGGACGAACGCUGGCGGCGUGCUUAACACAUGCAAGUCGAACGGAAAGGCCCCUUCGGGGGUGCUCGAGUGGCGAACGGGUGAGUAACACGUGGGUGAWCUGCCCUGCACUUCGGGAUAAGCUUGGGAAACUGGGUCUAAUACCGGAUAGGACCAUGCUAUGCAUGUGGUGUGGUGGAAAGCUUUUGCGGUGUGGGAUGGGCCCGCGGCCUAWCAGCUUGUUGGUGGGGUGAUGGCCUACCAAGGCGACGACGGGUAGCCGGCCUGAGAGGGUGUCCGGCCACACUGGGACUGAGAUACGGCCCAGACUCCUACGGGAGGCAGCAGUGGGGAAUAUUGCACKAAUGGGCGCAAGCCUGAUGCAGCGACGCCGCGUGGGGGAUGACGGCCUUCGGGUUGUAAACCUCUUUCACCAUCGACGAAGGCCUGCUUUUGGGUGGGUUGACGGUAGGUGGAGAAGAAGCWCCGGCCAACUACGUGCCWGCCGCCGCGGKAAUUC
rnacentral:rRNA from 1 species